rnacentral:rRNA from 1 species
CAAGUCGAACGAGAAAAUUCGGGUGUAGCAAUACAUCCGGGUGAGUAAAGUGGCGCACGGGUGAGUAACACGUAGCUAACCUGCCCUGGAGUGGGGAAUAACCCGGGGAAACCUGGGCUAAUACCGCAUAACACUGCUGGGACGUAAGUCUCGGUAGCCAAAGGCCCGCAAGGGUCACUCUAGGAGGGGGCUGCGGCCGAUUAGCUGGUUGGUGAGGUAACGGCCCACCAAGGCAUUGAUCGGUAGCCGGCCUGAGAGGGCGCACGGCCACACUGGCACUGAAAUACGGGCCAGACUCCUACGGGAGGCAGCAGUGGGGAAUUUUGCACAAUGCCCGCAAGGGUGAUGCAGCAACGCCGCGUGAGGGAUGAAGGCCUUCGGGUCGUAAACAUCUUUCGACCGGGAAAAACGGCUAGGCGAAGAGCCUAGCUUGAUGGUACCGGAUGAAGAAGCCCCGGCUAACCUACGUGCCAGCAGCCGCGGU